rnacentral:snRNA from 1 species
GUGGUCACUUCUGCAGCACAUAUACUAAAAUUGUAAUGAUAUAGAAAAGAUUAGCAUGGGCCCUGCACAUGGAUGACAUGCAAAUUUGUUAAGUGUUCUAUAUUUUU